rnacentral:rRNA from 1 species
GAGUUUGAUCCUGGCUCAGGGUGAACCGCUGCCGGCAAUGCUUAAACACAUGCAAGUCGAACGGAACUAAAGGGGCUUGCUUCUUAAGUUAGUGGCGCACGGGUGAGUAAUAUAUAGCUAACCCUGCCCUUAGUGGGGGGACAACAGUUGGAAACGACUGCUAAUACCCUAUACUCCUUCUUUACUAUAAGGUAAGUUGGGAAAGAUUUAUCGCUAAAGGAUGGGGCUUUAUUGUAUCAGCUAGUUGGUGGGGUAAUGGCCUACCAAGGCUAUGACGCAUACCUGGUAUGAGAGGAUGAUCAGGCACACUGGUACUGAGACACGGUCCAGACUCUUACGGGAGGCAGCAGUGGGGAAUAUUGCACAAUGGAGGAAACUCUGAUGCAGCAACACCGCGUGGAGGAUGACGCAUUUCGGUGUGUAAACUCCUUUUAUAGGGGAAGAUAAUGACGGUACCCCAUGAAUAAGCACCGGCUAACUCCGUCCCAGCAGCCGCGGUAAUACGGAGGGUGCUACGCGUUCUCGGUAACAAUUGGGCGUAAAGGUUGCGGUUCAGCGCCGAGUUUGAUCCUGGCUCAGGGUGAACCGCUGCCGGCAAUGCUUAAACACAUGCAAGUCGAACGGAACUAAAGGGGCUUGCUUCUUAAGUUAGUGGCGCACGGGUGAGUAAUAUAUAGCUAACCCUGCCCUUAGUGGGGGGACAACAGUUGGAAACGACUGCUAAUACCCUAUACUCCUUCUUUACUAUAAGGUAAGUUGGGAAAGAUUUAUCGCUAAAGGAUGGGGCUUUAUUGUAUCAGCUAGUUGGUGGGGUAAUGGCCUACCAAGGCUAUGACGCAUACCUGGUAUGAGAGGAUGAUCAGGCACACUGGUACUGAGACACGGUCCAGACUCUUACGGGAGGCAGCAGUGGGGAAUAUUGCACAAUGGAGGAAACUCUGAUGCAGCAACACCGCGUGGAGGAUGACGCAUUUCGGUGUGUAAACUCCUUUUAUAGGGGAAGAUAAUGACGGUACCCCAUGAAUAAGCACCGGCUAACUCCGUCCCAGCAGCCGCGGUAAUACGGAGGGUGCUACGCGUUCUCGGUAACAAUUGGGCGUAAAGGUUGCGGUUCAGCGCC